AACCAGACUCCUACGGGAGGCAGCAGUGGGGGAUAUUGCACAAUGGGGGGAACCCUGAUGCAGCGACGCCGCGUGGGUGAAGGAGUGCUUCGGCAUGUAAAGCCCUAUCGGCAGGGAAGAAGCAAGACGGUACCUGACUAAGAAGCCCCGGCUAACUACGUGCCAGCAGCCGCGGGAAUACGUAGGGGGCGAGCGUUAUCCGGAUUCACUGGGUGUAAAGGGAGCGUAGACGGCGAAGAAAGUCUGAAGUGAAAGCCCGCGGCUCAACCGCGGAAUGGCUUUGGAAACUUUUUUGCUGGAGUACCGGAGAGGUAAGCGGAAUUCCUAGUGUAGCGGUGAAAUGCGUAGAUAUUAGGAGGAACACCAGUGGCGAAGGCGGCUUACUGGACGGUAACUGACGUUGAGGCUCGAAAGCGUGGGGAGCAAACAGGAUUAGAUACCCUCGUAUCG
rnacentral:rRNA from 1 species